rnacentral:tRNA from 1 species
GCUCUCGUAACUCAGUUGGUUAGAGUGCUGGUCUUAUGAGCCGGAAGUCGCAGGUUCGAACCCUGCCGGGAGCA